rnacentral:misc_RNA from 1 species
GAUGAAGAACGCAGCGAAAUGCGAUAAGUAAUGUGAAUUGCAGAAUUCCGUGAAUCAUCGAAUCUUUGAACGCACAUUGCGCCCUCUGGUAUUCCGGGGGGCAUGCCUGUCCGAGCGUCAUUUGCAACCCUCAAGCCCGGCUUGUGUGAUGGGUGCCGUCCCCUACGGGACGCGCCCCGAAGGCAAUGGCGGCGUCGCGGUUAUCCGAUCAGCCAAAGUGUAUGGGGCUUUGUCACUCACUUUACGGCCCGGACCGGCGCCAGUCCGAAUCAAUCUUUUUUCUAAAGUUGACUUCGGAUCAGGCAGGGAUACCCGCUGAACUUAAGCAUAUCAAUAAGCGGAGGA